GGAAGAUGGGGCAGGAAGGCAACGCUCUGAGCCAAUCCAGAGGGGCGAGCAAAGCACCCGUCCUGAAGGCCUAGAGGGUGCCCCCUGUGCCCCGCGGCUCCCCAGCACCUGCUUCUCGUUUCACAUCUUGAAGGUAGACAGUGCCUGUUUUACAAAUCUGGACGUCUUUAAGAAAUUUCCUCCCACCACCUCAUCUCAGAAAACCUAAAAGGAAGCACACUAUUCUGGAUGCUUGCAGAAGUCUUCCUGUUUGACUAGAGGAUGACAUGGAAACCCUGGAUCCUAGUCCUGCCUGUUCCCAAGCCAGUGAGGAAACUCCCGG
rnacentral:lncRNA from 1 species